rnacentral:rRNA from 1 species
AGCGAACGUUAGCGGCGCGCCUAACACAUGCAAGUCGCACGAGAAAGGGAGCAAUCCCCGGUACAGUGGCGCACGGGUGAGUAACACGUAGAUGACCUUCCCUGGAGUGGUGGAUAACCUGCCGAAAGGCGGGCUAAUACAGCAUGGGACCACAUGGUUUUGACCGAGUGGUGAAAGCGGGCCUCUGUUCACAAGCUCGCGCUCUGGGAUGGGUCUGCGUCCCAUCAGCUAGUUGGUGAGGUAAUGGCUCACCAAGGCAUCGACGGGUAGCUGGUUUGAGAGGAUGACCAGCCACACUGGAACUGAGACACGGUCCAGACUCCUACGGGAGGCAGCAGUGGGGAAUCUUGCGCAAUGGGCGAAAGCCUGACGCAGCGACGCCGCGUGGGUGAUGAAGGCC